rnacentral:rRNA from 1 species
ACUGGGCAUGCCUAGUACGGCGAGUGAACAGGCAAGAGCUCAGAUUUGAAAGGCACUUUUGUGCCGUUGUAUUCUGAAGUUAGGGUCCUGAGAAACGAUGCUUAAGUCUUCUGGAAAGGAGCGCCAUGGAGGGUGAUAGCCCCGUCUAGCAUUGACCUCAUAUAGGAUCUUAACAUGGAGUCGAGUUGUUUGGGAAUGCAGCUCAAAUGGGUGGUAUGCUCCAUCUAAAGCUAAAUAUCUGCGAGAGACCGAUAGUAAACAAGUACUGUGAGGGAAAGAUGAAAAGAACUUUGAAAAGAGAGUGAAAAAGUACGUGAAAUUGUUGAAAUGGAAGGGUAGGCCGCUAACCAUGUAGAGCCGUGUUUGGGGGGAAGAUAAAUGCUGUAGAAUGUAGCUCCUCGGAGUAUUAUAGAUGCAGUUCAUAUUCCCACCCGAGCGCGAGGAUCUCAGGUUCUACUAAAUGGUGGUCUACCACCCGUCUUGAAACACGGACCA